rnacentral:rRNA from 1 species
UAUUUUGAGAGUUUGAUCCUGGCUCAGGAUGAACGCUGGCGGCGUGGAUAAGGCAUGCAAGUCAAGGGGGUUUCGCAGCAAUGCGAAACAACCGGCGAACGAGUUAGUAACACCUUGGUACGUACCCCGAAGUCUGGCAUAGCUCACCGAAAGGUGGGGUAAUUCCAGAUAAUAAAGUAAUUUCAAAGUCGCAAGACGCUUCGGGAGCGGCCUAGGUCCUAUCAGCUUGUUGGUGAGGUAAUGGCUCACCAAGGCUAUGACGGGUAGGGGGCGUGAGAGCGCGGCCCCCAACGAGGGAACUGAGACACGGUCCUUACAUCUACGGAUGGCUGCAGUCGAGAAUAUUCGACAAUGGGCGAAAGCCUGAUCGAGCGACGCCGCGUGCAGGAAGAAGGGCUUCGGCCUGUAAACUGCUUUUGCGUGGGAAGAAUCCGGCUUAUGCCGGAGUGACGGUACCACGAGAAUAAGGGGCUGCUAACCUCGUGCCAGCAGCAGCGGUAAUACGAGGGCCCCAAGCGUUAUCCGGAGUUACUGGGCGUAAAGAGCGAGCAGCCGGUGCUGAUAGUCUGAUGUUAAAUCUCAGGGCUCAACCCUGAGGCCGCAUUGGAAACGUCAGUUGUGUUUCGCACAUAGUCGCUAAUUUUCUUGAAAUAUUUAUUCGCGAACAUUCGUGAAUAAAUUCUAGAUUGAUUAGUGAUUUUGUGCGGAGCGCUAUUACUGGAGCAGGUCAGAGGCAAACGGAACGUGUGGUGUAGGGGUGAAAUCCGUUGAUAUCACACGGAACACCAAAAGCGAAAGCAGUUUGCUGGGACUUUGCUGACGGUCAUUCGCGAAAGCGUGGGGAUCAAAAAGGAUUAGAUACCCUUGUAGUCCACGCCCUAAACGUUGCAGACUAGCUAUCGGGGGCAUCGACCCUCCCGGUGGCGUAGCUAACGCGUUAAGUCUGUCGCCUGGGAAGUACGAUCGCA